rnacentral:rRNA from 1 species
AUUGAACGCUGGCGGCAGGCCUAACACAUGCAAGUCGAGCGGAGCGGCGGACGGGUGAGUAAUGCCUAGGAAUCUGCCUGGUAGUGGGGGAUAACGUCCGGAAACGGGCGCUAAUACCGCAUACUAUCAGAUGAGCCUAGGUCGGAUUAGCUAGUUGGUGGGGUAAAGGCCUACCAAGGAGACGAUCCGUAACUGGUCUGAUAGGAUGAUCAGUCACACUGGAACGGAGACACGGUCCAGACUCCUACGGGAGUCAGCAGUGGGGAAUAUUGGACAAUGGGCGAAAGCCGUAUCCAGCCAUGCCGCGUGUGUGAAGAAGGUCUUCGGAUUUUAAAGCACUUUCAGCGAGGAGGCGUUACUCGCAGAAGAAGCACAGGCUAACUCCGUGCCAGCAGCCGCGGUAAUUC